CACGCCAGGGCAAGGCUGUGCAUCGGAGAUCACAUGGGGAAGGUCGAAGUUGAUCCCCUUGAUGCUCGGGUACUUCUUGGUGAUGGUGUGGACGACAGCACCCACGCCGCCGGCGACAUCCACCAGGGUGCCGAUGCCGUCGAAACCGGUGUACAGUUCGAGGAGCUUCUUGGUGAUGAUCACAGAAUGUUGCUUCAUGGCCUCGUUGAAGACGGAGUUGAAGCGCGCAUCCGUGCCGGCGUAGUCGAACCAGGACGCCCCGAAUGCCUUGGUGAAUGCACUGCCACCUUCAAGGACCGCGUCCUUCAUGUGGCACCUGCAUAUGAUUUAGUCCAAUCGAUUAUUUCACAAUAUGCAUGUCACUUCCAGUUCAUAACACCACAAAUACUUGUCUAAAUCUGUAUUAGAGAAGUGCAGUAAGAGUUGUCUGAGAUGUGAUAAAAAAUAAUACAUCACUGUAAAACUUUUCAUUUUUUCGGAAUCUGUCCUCAGAAGUGCUAAAAACAUUGAGCACUGAACUCUUUUUCUUGGGUAGAGCUUCUGGAAUGUUUCUUCCGUACGAAAUUACAGCAUAUUAUUGUUGUCAUGAAAUUUAAGCGUAUUUUAUUUUAUUUUGUUCUUUACUGUUCAUGAGGGUGCUCCUGCACCUGGGAGCUGAAAACCACUGUCGUCUGAGAUCUCAACUGAAUUUGAACAUGCUAGCUUCUUUUGACCAGAAAGUUCUAGUUUCUUUUCCUAAUCACUGUACUGAUUUCAUCAUUUCCACGGCCUAAUCACCAUACUUAUUGUUAAUUAGCUGAUUCGCCCAGGAUAAUUACAGAUCACGAGAAAAAAAAAAUCUUGAGGGCCAGAUGACACUGCCAGUUACCUGCUCUUAGCAAUAAAGAACAAAAAACAUAAACAGCCAAAGGUCAAUUACCUACGAUUCCAUGGAACGGACGAUUGAGGUGUGGUUACGCAUUGUUAUGUGUAACAGCACCCCGGUAUACAAUUCGCCCAGGAUAAUUACAGUUCAUAGAGGUGCUGAAAUCCACUGUCUAAUCGAAUGCAAUGCACACGGUACAUAUGUAGUAAGUAUACGGAAAGGAUUCUCACCAGGCCUCCAUGAAGAGCUUGUCCUGGGCGAGGAGGCAGAAGGGGGCCAUGGAGACGCCUUCCUCGUUGGGGGUGAGCCACUUGCACACCGGCUCGGCGCCGUACCGGCGUGAGAGGCUGCCGUCGCUGGACUCGGCCACCACGCACGACACGACCUUGUAUGCUGCCAGCACCCGCAGCAGCCGAUCCACCAUGGACGCCGCGUCCGGGUUGGCCUCGGCUUUGGACGGCAGCUUCGCCGCCACCUCCUCGGGGGUCAGCACCU
rnacentral:lncRNA from 1 species